rnacentral:rRNA from 1 species
AGCGUACACGGUGGAUGCCCUGGCAGUCAGAGGCGAUGAAGGACGUGCUAAUCUGCGAUAAGCGUCGGUGAGGUGAUAUGAACCGUUAUAACCGGCGAUUUCCGAAUGGGGAAACCCAGUGUGUUUCGACACACUAUCAUUAACUGAAUCCAUAGGUUAAUGAGGCGAACCGGGGGAACUGAAACAUCUAAGUACCCCGAGGAAAAGAAAUCAACCGAGAUUCCCCCAGUAGCGGCGAGCGAACGGGGAGCAGCCCAGAGUCUGAAUCAGUGUGUGUGUUAGUGGAAGCGUCUGGAAAGGCGCGCGAUACAGGGUGACAGCCCCGUACACAAAAAUGCACAUGCUGUGAGCUCGAUGAGUAGGGCGGGACACGUGGUAUCCUGUCUGAAUAUGGGGGGACCAUCCUCCAAGGCUAAAUACUCCUGACUGACCGAUAGUGAACCAGUACCGUGAGGGAAAGGCGAAAAGAACCCCGGCGAGGGGAGUGAAAAAGAACCUGAAACCGUGUACGUACAAGCAGUGGGAGCCUCUUAAUGGGGUGACUGCGUACCUUUUGUAUAAUGGGUCAGCGACUUAUAUUCUGUAGCAAGGUUAACCGAAUAGGGGAGCCGAAGGGAAACCGAGUCUUAACUGGGCGUUAAGUUGCAGGGUAUAGACCCGAAACCCGGUGAUCUAGCCAUGGGCAGGUUGAAGGUUGGGUAACACUAACUGGAGGACCGAACCGACUAAUGUUGAAAAAUUAGCGGAUGACUUGUGGCUGGGGGUGAAAGGCCAAUCAAACCGGGAGAUAGCUGGUUCUCCCCGAAAGCUAUUUAGGUAGCGCCUCGUGAAUUCAUCUCCGGGGGUAGAGCACUGUUUCGGCAAGGGGGUCAUCCCGACUUACCAACCCGAUGCAAACUGCGAAUACCGGAGAAUGUUAUCACGGGAGACACACGGCGGGUGCUAACGUCCGUCGUGAAGAGGGAAACAACCCAGACCGCCAGCUAAGGUCCCAAAGUCAUGGUUAAGUGGGAAACGAUGUGGGAAGGCCCAGACAGCCAGGAUGUUGGCUUAGAAGCAGCCAUCAUUUAAAGAAAGCGUAAUAGCUCACUGGUCGAGUCGGCCUGCGCGGAAGAUGUAACGGGGCUAAACCAUGCACCGAAGCUGCGGCAGCGACGCUUAUGCGUUGUUGGGUAGGGGAGCGUUCUGUAAGCCUGUGAAGGUGUGCUGUGAGGCAUGCUGGAGGUAUCAGAAGUGCGAAUGCUGACAUAAGUAACGAUAAAGCGGGUGAAAAGCCCGCUCGCCGGAAGACCAAGGGUUCCUGUCCAACGUUAAUCGGGGCAGGGUGAGUCGACCCCUAAGGCGAGGCCGAAAGGCGUAGUCGAUGGGAAACAGGUUAAUAUUCCUGUACUUGGUGUUACUGCGAAGGGGGGACGGAGAAGGCUAUGUUGGCCGGGCGACGGUUGUCCCGGUUUAAGCGUGUAGGCUGGUUUUCCAGGCAAAUCCGGAAAAUCAAGGCUGAGGCGUGAUGACGAGGCACUACGGUGCUGAAGCAACAAAUGCCCUGCUUCCAGGAAAAGCCUCUAAGCAUCAGGUAACAUCAAAUCGUACCCCAAACCGACACAGGUGGUCAGGUAGAGAAUACCAAGGCGCUUGAGAGAACUCGGGUGAAGGAACUAGGCAAAAUGGUGCCGUAACUUCGGGAGAAGGCACGCUGAUAUGUAGGUGAAGCGACUUGCUCGUGGAGCUGAAAUCAGUCGAAGAUACCAGCUGGCUGCAACUGUUUAUUAAAAACACAGCACUGUGCAAACACGAAAGUGGACGUAUACGGUGUGACGCCUGCCCGGUGCCGGAAGGUUAAUUGAUGGGGUUAGCGGCAACGCGAAGCUCUUGAUCGAAGCCCCGGUAAACGGCGGCCGUAACUAUAACGGUCCUAAGGUAGCGAAAUUCCUUGUCGGGUAAGUUCCGACCUGCACGAAUGGCGUAAUGAUGGCCAGGCUGUCUCCACCCGAGACUCAGUGAAAUUGAACUCGCUGUGAAGAUGCAGUGUACCCGCGGCAAGACGGAAAGACCCCGUGAACCUUUACUAUAGCUUGACACUGAACAUUGAGCCUUGAUGUGUAGGAUAGGUGGGAGGCUUUGAAGUGUGGACGCCAGUCUGCAUGGAGCCGACCUUGAAAUACCACCCUUUAAUGUUUGAUGUUCUAACGUUGGCCCGUAAUCCGGGUUGCGGACAGUGUCUGGUGGGUAGUUUGACUGGGGCGGUCUCCUCCUAAAGAGUAACGGAGGAGCACGAAGGUUGGCUAAUCCUGGUCGGACAUCAGGAGGUUAGUGCAAUGGCAUAAGCCAGCUUGACUGCGAGCGUGACGGCGCGAGCAGGUGCGAAAGCAGGUCAUAGUGAUCCGGUGGUUCUGAAUGGAAGGGCCAUCGCUCAACGGAUAAAAGGUACUCCGGGGAUAACAGGCUGAUACCGCCCAAGAGUUCAUAUCGACGGCGGUGUUUGGCACCUCGAUGUCGGCUCAUCACAUCCUGGGGCUGAAGUAGGUCCCAAGGGUAUGGCUGUUCGCCAUUUAAAGUGGUACGCGAGCUGGGUUUAGAACGUCGUGAGACAGUUCGGUCCCUAUCUGCCGUGGGCGCUGGAGAACUGAGGGGGGCUGCUCCUAGUACGAGAGGACCGGAGUGGACGCAUCACUGGUGUUCGGGUUGUCAUGCCAAUGGCACUGCCCGGUAGCUAAAUGCGGAAGAGAUAAGUGCUGAAAGCAUCUAAGCACGAAACUUGCCCCGAGAUGAGUUCUCCCUGACUCCUUGA